AACGAACGCUGGCGGCAGGCCUAACACAUGCAAGUCGAGCGAGAUCUUCGGGUCUAGCGGCGGACGGGUGAGUAACGCGUGGGAAUAUGCCUCUUGGUACGGAAUAGCCUCGGGAAACUGGGAGUAAUACCGUAUGUGCCCUUUGGGGGAAAGAAUUAUCGCCAAGAGAUUAGCCCGCGUUGGAUUAGGUAGUUGGUGGGGUAAUGGCCUACCAAGCCGACGAUCCAUAGCUGGUUUGAGAGGAUGAUCAGCCACACUGGGACUGAGACACGGCCCAGACUCCUACGGGAGGCAGCAGUGGGGAAUCUUAGACAAUGGGGGCAACCCUGAUCUAGCCAUGCCGCGUGAGUGAUGAAGGCCUUAGGGUUGUAAAGCUCUUUCAGCUGGGAAGAUAAUGACGGUACCAGCAGAAGAAGCCCCGGCUAACUCCGUG
rnacentral:rRNA from 1 species